rnacentral:rRNA from 1 species
GAUGAACGCUGGCGGCAGGCCUUACACAUGCAAGUCGAGCGAACGGAAUUAAAAACAAAUCUGAGAGCUUGCUCAAAGACGAGUUUUUUUGGAAGUUAGCGGCAAACGGGUGAGUAACGCGUAGGAAUUUCCCAUAAGCGGGGGAUAGCUCGUCGAAAGGCGAGGUAAUACCCCAUGUGAUCGCAAGAUUAAAGGAGCAAUCCACUUAUGGCAAAGCCUGCGUCCCAUCAGAUAGUUGGUAAGGUAAAAGCUUACCAAGUCAUAGACGGGUAGCUGGUCUGAGAGGAUGAUCAGCCACACUGGAACUGCGACACGGUCCAGACACCUACGGGUGGCAGCAGUGGGGAAUUUUCGGCAAUGGGCGCAAGCCUGACCGAGCCAUGCCGCGUGAAGGAUGAAGGCCCUAUGGGUUGUAAACUUCUGUGGAGAUCUAGUAAUUUUGAACAGAUCUCUAGAAAGAGGUUGCUAACUCUG